UAACGAAUAUUGGGCAAUGGGCGAAAGCCUGACCCAGCGAUACCGCGUGUGGGAAGAAGCUCUUCGGGGUGUAAACCACUGUCAGGGACUACCAAGCGAAGAGGGUUAACAUCCCUCCUAGUUGAGGAUUCCCAAAGGAAGCCACGGCUAACUUCGUGCCAGCAGCCGCGGUAAGACGAAGGUGGCGAGCGUUGUUCGGAAUUACUGGGCUUAAAGGGCGCGUAGGCGGCCCAUCAAGUGCCUUGUGAAAUCCCUCGGCUCAACCGAGGAAUUGCUUGGGAGACUGAUGGGCUUGAGGUAGGCAUGAGUGAGUGGAACUCUUGGUGGAGCGGUGGAAUGCGUAGAUAUCAAGAGGAACGCCGGCGGUGAAGACGACUCACUGGGCCUGUCCUGACGCUGAGGCGCGAAAGCCAGGGGAGCAAACG
rnacentral:rRNA from 1 species